CACCUGAAUUGAAAGGAACUCUAUUUACUCUUUUGAUCAUUAUUUGACGUUAUACUCUGAGGGAAUUACAGUUCUACGUGUUGUAUUUCCGCCAUUUCACGCCAUUUCACACCAUUUUAAAAUCUUAGUAGGAAAUGAGUGAGGGCAUUGUGCCAAUCCACCUUUCAAACGCAUUCUUCAAUCAGAGGCACAAUAUCACCAACAUUUAAGGGUGACAACGACAACGUUUUUAUGCCUAAAAGAUGCCAUAACGCAGCUCAAAAUGAUGCUGGAGAGCUUUUCAAUCUGCGUUUAUAGGGCUGGCCUGGCCACAUUACCUCCUGGCCUAACUGCGAGAAGAUGCAACAAAUUUUACAUAGUUCUUGAGCAUUAAUAAUUACCUAAUAACACUUUACAUCAUAGCAAAAGCAUUAAUGCAGAAGACGCCAAUUGAGCUACAGGAUGCUUGGUACCUGUAUUAAGUAGGCUUAAUAUUUCGAACACAAAAUGCUUAAAUACCUCUUAUUGAUUCGGCAGACUUUAUCAGUGCGUGCUAUACUCCUAGACAAUGAAACUGGGUAGGCAUUGUGCCAAUAUUUAGCUCUUUGUCACAAAAAUUAAUUCCAAGAUAGAAUAGGUAAGUCCUAAUGCAAAGUGCCCUGACUUUAUUAAAUAAGAGCGUUUCAACAGUAAUAGCUGCAUUCACUACAUUAGCAUCUGUAACAAGGACGAAAUACAACGAAGUGAUCAAACGCAACUAUGGCUGGAGCUGAAAUUGAUGAAGAUCAGUUGGAAGAUAUGAAAGACUGCUACUCAAUUUUUGACAAAAAAGGUGAUAUGAAAGUUGAAAGCGAUCGCCUUGUUGAUGUUCUUCGUUCUCUUGGGCUGAACCCUCUCACAGAAGACGUGGAAAAAUGCCUCGAAGAAUCCAAACUCAAAGGACAAAGAGUCGAUUUCGAAACAUUCUUCGGCAUCUACAAAUUCAUUUUGAAUAAGCCCACUGUUGGUAGCUACGAAGAUAUGGUUGAGGGGCUGAAAACCCUGGACAGAGACGCGAGUGGCCUGAUAUAUGCCGCAGAAAUUCGACACAUCUUGUCAAAAGUAGCAGACAGGAUGACUGAGGACCAAUUGAAUCAUACCGUUGGCCCUUUUGAGAAUGCAGAGGGCUUGGUAGCGUAUGAGACUCUGAUUAAAUCAGUUAUGGCUGCUUGAUCGAAGACUGAGAAUUCAAUUUCGAAUCCAACUGCAUGUUGCAUUUGCUAAUGAAAUUUCAAUAUGAAUUUUAAUUCAAGAAGGAUUGUAUUAAAUGAAUGUGAUACAUUGGACAA